rfam:Bacteroides stercoris strain CL09T03C01 AA415_contig0006, whole genome shotgun sequence.
GGGGUUGACUGGAUUUGACAGCGGGCAGAAAUGGUAAGUAAGCAUGCAGUGCGUCGUUGAUUUGCACUUAAAUCUCAGUCUUCAAAAUUUUAUCUGGCGAAAGACAAUUUGCUCUUGCUGCUUAAUCGAAGUAUAGUAGAUUAGCUUAAUCCCGACACAAGGUGUUGGGACGAGACAUCACUCGGAAGCUGUUGCUCCGAAGCAUUCCGGUCAAGUGGUGCAGUCAAAUCGGGGAUAGUUCGUGUCAGCCUCGUGGCUCGGAUGAAACUUUAGAGGAUAAGGCAACGGUUGAUGGCUUUGGUUCUGCCGUUGCACGAAAAAUCAGGCAAAGAUAAGCAUGUAGAAAGCUUAUGAUUUCCUCGUUUGGACGAGGGUUCGAUUCCCUCCAGCUCCACAA